GGUUAAGCGACUAAGCGUACACGGUGGAUGCCCUGGCAGUCAGAGGCGAUGAAGGGCGUGCUAAUCUGCGAUAAGCGCCGGUAAGGUGAUAUGAACCGUUAUAACCGGCGAUACCCGAAUGGGGAAACCCAGUGUGAUUCGUCACACUAUCAUUAACUGAAUCCAUAGGUUAAUGAGGCGAACCGGGGGAACUGAAACAUCUAAGUACCCCGAGGAAAAGAAAUCAACCGAGAUUCCCCCAGUAGCGGCGAGCGAACGGGGAGGAGCCCAGAGCCUGAAUCAGCAUGUGUGUUAGUGGAAGCGUCUGGAAAGGCGCGCGAUACAGGGUGACAGCCCCGUACACAAAAGCGCAUGUGCUGUGAGCUCGAUGAGUAGGGCGGGACACGUGGUAUCCUGUCUGAAUAUGGGGGGACCAUCCUCCAAGGCUAAAUACUCCUGACUGACCGAUAGUGAACCAGUACCGUGAGGGAAAGGCGAAAAGAACCCCGGCGAGGGGAGUGAAAAAGAACCUGAAACCGUGUACGUACAAGCAGUGGGAGCACCCUUCGGGGUGUGACUGCGUACCUUUUGUAUAAUGGGUCAGCGACUUAUAUUCUGUAGCAAGGUUAACCGUAUAGGGGAGCCGGAGGGAAACCGAGUCUUAAUUGGGCGUUAAGUUGCAGGGUAUAGACCCGAAACCCGGUGAUCUAGCCAUGGGCAGGUUGAAGGUUGGGUAACACUAACUGGAGGACCGAACCGACUAAUGUUGAAAAAUUAGCGGAUGACCUGUGGCUGGGGGUGAAAGGCCAAUCAAACCGGGAGAUAGCUGGUUCUCCCCGAAAGCUAUUUAGGUAGCGCCUCGUGAAUUCAUCUCCGGGGGUAGAGCACUGUUUCGGCUAGGGGGCCAUCCCGGCUUACCAACCCGAUGCAAACUGCGAAUACCGGAGAAUGUUAUCACGGGAGACACACGGCGGGUGCUAACGUCCGUCGUGAAGAGGGAAACAACCCAGACCGCCAGCUAAGGUCCCAAAGUCAUGGUUAAGUGGGAAACGAUGUGGGAAGGCCCAGACAGCCAGGAUGUUGGCUUAGAAGCAGCCAUCAUUUAAAGAAAGCGUAAUAGCUCACUGGUCGAGUCGGCCUGCGCGGAAGAUGUAACGGGGCUAAACCAUGCACCGAAGCUGCGGCAGCGAACGUAUCACUUAAAGCGAUUCAGCGGGUUACGAUUGACGGAGCGAAGCGACGUCAAAGCGUAUACAAAGUCGAGUCGGUUUAAGGAUACGUUCGUUGGGUAGGGGAGCGUUCUGUAAGCCUGUGAAGGUGUGUCGUGAGGCAUGCUGGAGGUAUCAGAAGUGCGAAUGCUGACAUAAGUAACGAUAAAGCGGGUGAAAAGCCCGCUCGCCGGAAGACCAAGGGUUCCUGUCCAACGUUAAUCGGGGCAGGGUGAGUCGACCCCUAAGGCGAGGCCGAAAGGCGUAGUCGAUGGGAAACGGGUUAAUAUUCCCGUACUUGGUGUUACUGCGAAGGGGGGACGGAGAAGGCUAUGUUGGCCGGGCGACGGUUGUCCCGGUUUAAGCGUGUAGGUGUGUGUUCCAGGUAAAUCCGGUUCACUUUAACACUGAGGCGUGAUGACGAGGCACUACGGUGCUGAAGCAACAAAUGCCCUGCUUCCAGGAAAAGCCUCUAAGCAUCAGGUAACAUCAAAUCGUACCCCAAACCGACACAGGUGGUCAGGUAGAGAAUACCAAGGCGCUUGAGAGAACUCGGGUGAAGGAACUAGGCAAAAUGGUGCCGUAACUUCGGGAGAAGGCACGCUGACACGUAGGUGAAGUGAUUUACUCAUGGAGCUGAAGUCAGUCGAAGAUACCAGCUGGCUGCAACUGUUUAUUAAAAACACAGCACUGUGCAAACACGAAAGUGGACGUAUACGGUGUGACGCCUGCCCGGUGCCGGAAGGUUAAUUGAUGGGGUCAGCGCAAGCGAAGCUCCUGAUCGAAGCCCCGGUAAACGGCGGCCGUAACUAUAACGGUCCUAAGGUAGCGAAAUUCCUUGUCGGGUAAGUUCCGACCUGCACGAAUGGCGUAAUGAUGGCCAGGCUGUCUCCACCCGAGACUCAGUGAAAUUGAACUCGCUGUGAAGAUGCAGUGUACCCGCGGCAAGACGGAAAGACCCCGUGAACCUUUACUAUAGCUUGACACUGAACAUUGAGCCUUGAUGUGUAGGAUAGGUGGGAGGCUUUGAAGCGUGGACGCCAGUCUGCGUGGAGCCGACCUUGAAAUACCACCCUUUAAUGUUUGAUGUUCUAACGUGGACCCGUGAUCCGGGUUGCGGACAGUGUCUGGUGGGUAGUUUGACUGGGGCGGUCUCCUCCUAAAGAGUAACGGAGGAGCACGAAGGUUGGCUAAUCCUGGUCGGACAUCAGGAGGUUAGUGCAAUGGCAUAAGCCAGCUUGACUGCGAGCGUGACGGCGCGAGCAGGUGCGAAAGCAGGUCAUAGUGAUCCGGUGGUUCUGAAUGGAAGGGCCAUCGCUCAACGGAUAAAAGGUACUCCGGGGAUAACAGGCUGAUACCGCCCAAGAGUUCAUAUCGACGGCGGUGUUUGGCACCUCGAUGUCGGCUCAUCACAUCCUGGGGCUGAAGUAGGUCCCAAGGGUAUGGCUGUUCGCCAUUUAAAGUGGUACGCGAGCUGGGUUUAGAACGUCGUGAGACAGUUCGGUCCCUAUCUGCCGUGGGCGCUGGAGAACUGAGGGGGGCUGCUCCUAGUACGAGAGGACCGGAGUGGACGCAUCACUGGUGUUCGGGUUGUCAUGCCAAUGGCACUGCCCGGUAGCUAAAUGCGGAAGAGAUAAGUGCUGAAAGCAUCUAAGCACGAAACUUGCCCCGAGAUGAGUUCUCCCUGAGACUUAAAGUCUCCUGAAGGAACGUUGAAGACGACGACGUUGAUAGGCCGGGUGUGUAAGCGCAGCGAUGCGUUGAGCUAACCGGUACUAAUGAACCGUGAGGCUUAACCUU
rnacentral:rRNA from 1 species